rnacentral:rRNA from 1 species
UGCGUAGGCGGAUUAAUAAGUCAGUGGUGAAAUCUUUCGGCUCAACCGAGAAACUGCCACUGAUACUGUUAAUCUUGAGUUCGGUUGAGGUAGGCGGAAUGUGUAAUGUAGCGGUGAAAUGCUUAGAUAUUACACAGAACACCAAUUGCGUAGGCAGCUUACUAGACCGACACUGACGCUGAGGCACGAAAGCGUGGGGAGCGAACAGGAUUAGAUACCCUGGUAGUCC